GAUGAACGCUGGCGGCGUGCCUAAUACAUGCAAGUCGAGCGAACAGACGAGGAGCUUGCUCCUCUGACGUUAGCGGCGGACGGGUGAGUAACACGUGGAUAACCUACCUAUAAGACUGGGAUAACUUCGGGAAACCGGAGCUAAUACCGGAUAAUAUAUUGAACCGCAUGGUUCAAUAGUGAAAGACGGUUUUGCUGUCACUUAUAGAUGGAUCCGCGCCGCAUUAGCUAGUUGGUAAGGUAACGGCUUACCAAGACAACGAUGCGUAGCCGACCUGAGAGGGUGAUCGGCCACACUGGACCUGAGCCCCGGUCAAGACUCCUACGGGAGGCAGCAGUAGGGAAUCUUCCGCAAUGGGCGAAAGCCUGACGGAGCAACGCCGCGUGAGUGAUGAAGGUCUUCGGAUCGUAAAACUCUGUUAUUAGGGAAGAACAAAUGUGUAAGUAACUAUGCACGUCUUGACGGUACCUAAUCAGAAAGCCACGGCUAACUACGU
rnacentral:rRNA from 1 species